rnacentral:rRNA from 1 species
UACGUAGGGGGCUAGCGUUGUCCGGAAUCAUUGGGCGUAAAGAGCGUGUAGGCGGCCCGGUAAGUCCGCUGUGAAAGUCGGGGGCUCAACCCUCGAAUGCCGGUGGAUACUGUCGGGCUAGAGUGCGGAAGAGGCGAGUGGAAUCCUGGUGUAGCGGUGAAAUGCGCAGAUAUCAGGAGGAACACCGGUGGCGAAGGCGGCCCUCUGGACGGUGACUGACGCUGGAGACGCGAAAGCGUGGGGAGCAAACAGG